CCUUCGAUAGCUCAGUUGGUAGAGGGGAGGACUGUAGGUGCUAAAAUGGCCAUAGUUAGGUUGAUGGUUCAAAUCUGGCUCGAAGGA